rnacentral:tRNA from 1 species
CCCGUAGCUCAGCUGGAUAGAGCGCUGCCCUCCGAAGGCAGAGGUCACAGGUUCGAAUCCUGUCGGG